rnacentral:tRNA from 1 species
GCUUUUAAUUUUUUAACUUUGAAAGUUAAUUUAGGGUAAACCUAAAAGCU